AUUGAACGCUGGCGGCAGGCCUAACACAUGCAAGUCGAACGGUAACAGGAAACAGCUUGCUGUUUCGCUGACGAGUGGCGGACGGGUGAGUAAUGUCUGGGAAACUGCCUGAUGGAGGGGGAUAACUACUGGAAACGGUAGCUAAUACCGCAUAACGUCGCAAGACCAAAGAGGGGGACCUUCGGGCCUCUUGCCAUCGGAUGUGCCCAGAUGGGAUUAGCUAGUAGGUGGGGUAACGGCUCACCUAGGCGACGAUCCCUAGCUGGUCUGAGAGGAUGACCAGCCACACUGGAACUGAGACACGGCCCAGACUCCUACGGGAGGCAGCAGUGGGGAAUAUUGCACAAUGGGCGCAAGCCUGAUGCAGCCAUGCCGCGUGUAUGAAGAAGGCCUUCGGGUUGUAAAGUACUUUCAGCGGGGAGGAAGGGAGUAAAGUUAAUACCUUUGCUCAUUGACGUUACCCGCAGAAGAAGCACCGGCUAACUCCGUG
rnacentral:rRNA from 1 species